rnacentral:lncRNA from 1 species
CCAGACUCGGGCGAGCCCGGCAGCGACUUGAGUCCAGCUUGCCCUGCCCUGCCCUGCCCUGCUUGCCCAGCGCGGCGCCGCGAUGUGAGACUCCCCGGGCCGGAGCGUCCGCUGGGCACGCCAGCACCGCGAGCGCAGCACCCCGUUGUGAGGACUGAACACAGGAGAGGAACGCUCACCUCAGAUUCCAGAGCCCAUCUCAGCAUCUGCUAACUGCCUGUUUCACAGAAGAAAAAAUGGCAGCCAAACAGCCUCCUCCGCUCAUGAAGAAGCACAGCCAGACAGAUCUUGUGAGCCGCCUGAAGACCAGAAAGAUCCUGGGCGUGGGCGGGGAGGAUGAUGAUGGGGAAGUGCACCGGUCAAAGAUCAGCCAGGUUUUGGGCAACGAGAUAAAGUUUGCCGUGCGGGAGCCUCUGGGGCU